rnacentral:rRNA from 1 species
GAUGAACGCUGGCGGCGUGCCUAAUACAUGCAAGUAGAACGCUGAAGGAAGGAGCUUGCUCUUUCCGGAUGAGUUGCGAACGGGUGAGUAACGCGUAGGUAACCUGCCUGGUAGCGGGGGAUAACUAUUGGAAACGAUAGCUAAUACCGCAUAACAGUAGAUGUUGCAUGAUAUCUACUUAAAAGGUGCAAUUGCACCACUACCAGAUGGACCUGCGUUGUAUUAGCUAGUUGGUGAGGUAACGGCUCACCAAGGCGACGAUACAUAGCCGACCUGAGAGGGUGAUCGGCCACACUGGGACUGAGACACGGCCCAGACUCCUACGGGAGGCAGCAGUAGGGAAUCUUCGGCAAUGGACGGAAGUCUGACCGAGCAACGCCGCGCGAGUGAAGAAGGUUUUCGGAUCGUAAAGCUCUGUUGUAAGAGAAGAACGAGUGUGAGAGUGGAAAGUUCACACUGUGACGGUAGCUUACCAGAAAGGGACGGCUAACUACGUG